GACGAACGCUGGCGGCGUGCUUAACACAUGCAAGUCGAACGGAAAGGCCCUGCUUUUGUGGGUUGCUCGAGUGGCGAACGGGUGAGUAACCAGGGAGUAACCUUCCCUUGACUUUUGGAUAACUUCAGGAAACUGGGGGUAAUACCGGAUAGGAGCUUCGGCUGCCUGGUGGGGGUAGGAAAGUUUCGGCUGUUGGGGAUGUACUGGAGGCUUAUCAGCUUGUUGGUGGGGUAGUGGCUUACCAAGGCUUUGAGGGGUAGCCGGCAUGGGAGGGUGACCGGCCACCAUGCGACUGAGAGACGGACCAGACGGCAACGGGAGGCAGCGGGGGGGAGUCUGACACAGCGGGGCGACGCGUGAUGCAGCAGCGCCGCGAGCGGGAUGCCGGCCUUCGGGUUGUAAACCGCUUUGGAAGGUGACGAAGCGUGCGUGACGGUAAUGGGUAAAGAAGCACCGGCUAACUACGUG
rnacentral:rRNA from 1 species